CCCGCACAAGCAGUGAGUAUGUGGUUUAAUUCGAAGCAACGCGAAGAACCUUACCAGGGCUUGACAUCCCUCGAAUAUUGCAGAAUGCAAUAGUCCUACGGGACGAGGAGACAGGUGGUGCAUGGUUGUCGUCAGCUCGUGUCGUGAGAUGUUGGGUUAAGUCCCGCAACGAGCGCAACCCCUGUUGUUAGUUGCCAUCAAGUAAAGUUGGGCACUCUAACGAGACUGCCGGUGACAAAUCGGAGGAAGGUGGGGACGACGUCAAAUCAUCAUGCCCCUUAUGUCCUGGGCUACACACGUACUACAAUGGCUACUACAGAGGGAAGCGAAGCCGCGAGGUGGAGCAAAUCCCACAAAAGUAGUCCCAGUUCGGAUUGGAGUCUGCAACUCGACUCCAUGAAGUUGGAAUCGCUAGUAAUCGCGGAUCAGCACGCCGCGGUGAAUACGUUCCCGGGCCUU
rnacentral:rRNA from 1 species